UGCAAGGUGAACUGGGAUAUCGUGUGUAGGCCUUCCGAGUUUGGGGGCCUUGGCGUACUCAACACGGAAAAAUUUGCGAGGGCACUAAGGCUGCGUUGGCUUUGGUUUGAGUGGAAGGAGCCGUCCAAGAUGUGGGUCGGUUUGGGGAACCCGUGCGACGACAAGGACUAUGAUCUUUUUUACGCCUUCUCCACCAUCACUGUUGGCAAUGGAGCCUGCACACCUUUUUGGGAUGCUCCUUGGGUGCAUGGGAGAAAGCCCAAAGACAUUGCUCCGCUCAUUUAUAAUGCCGCCACAAGGAAGAAUUGGAAAAUCAAA
rnacentral:rRNA from 1 species